CAGCAACACAAAACCAGUUAUAACCAUGAAGAAACAAAGCAUAACAUAAUAGAAUUACAACAUAAAUGUAACCAAAGCCAUCAUAAAGUUAUAUUGUGAAAUAAGCAUGUACAUUACAGAAAAAGCAAAAUUUACAAAAGCCUACAAAAGAAACUAGACUGCAUGGGUAUUAUUUACUUUAAUGCUUUAAUAAAUCAAUACGUUAUAUUAUUUGCAGCAGAAUAAUUCAUCAUCAGCUAGGCUAUUUCACAACAGUCAUGUGACUCAUUUUUACUACAUCUGGGAAAUUCCUCUAACGCAAUCUACAUGCUAGCAGAGCCCUGCACACGGGCACAAAACUGUAUAAAAGCACAAUGGAUCUUCCUGUUCAGACAUCGGCAAUCCUCUGACAGGAGAGACCACAGCUUCUCAAAACCUCAGCUCAGAAGACAAGCCAAACGCUCCUAACCAUGAACGGCAAGCUCGGAGCUGUCCUGGCUCUCCUCCUGGUUUCAGCAGCUCUGUCGCAAGGUAAGUACCCACAGGACUGCAGCACUAUCUUGGCACUUGCUGAGAUGUGUGUCCUCAGAGAGGCAGCUUUCUGCUAGUUUCUGCAAGUUCAUUUCUUUUGAAAUGUUUUCAACAGUUUUGCUUCAGCCAGAAAUUAACUACCGUAGCUCUUGUACUGAAGAGUUACUGACAUCUUGUGGGAAAUAUUUUAAGGAUGCUAAUGAAAUUAACUUUGGUUCUGCAUUUCAUUUAAAGCGUAAGUUGGCUAGAGANCCCUGGGUACAGCUGAUCGUAAAGGCACUUAUGGCCAAGGCUCAGCUCAAUUCUGAUGCACCUCUGUGAGAAAAUUCCAGACAGGAAAAAACCUCAGAACUGCUCCUGAUUUCCACUGGGAGAAACAUCCAGAGAAAGCAUCAUGCAGCGUUCCAUCUUCCACCUUCCAUAUCGGCGUUUCGUGUUAACUGUAGAUCCUUGUGUGUAUUUAUUUAUUUAUUUAACUGCAUCUAUUUGAAAAAGUCUUUCAUAAUGGUCAGUGCUGUGGGACUCACUGUCCGGUGAAACUGAAGACACUGAAUAGGAAAAGCGGCUUGCUAGGGGAAAUGAAGAUCCCUUAGAAGCCACUUCAGUCAGACAUAAUCAGUUAAGUGCAAUGCACUUACAGCACAGCUUGUUUGUACUAAGCCCUACUGUUUUGCUAUUACAGCAGCAAACUGGUAAUUCCUCCUGCUCCCCUGGAGUGCUCUAGUAUGUUGUGUCAACAACAGUUUCCUAGUCACAGUCAGCUCAUGCUGGCUGCAGACUGUGAUUUAGAACUUUGGAAAUCUAUCCUGCAGAAUCUGUAAGACUGUGGGUUUGGUAUUUAUUAUUAUUUCCAUGGUAUUUAUAAAUAUAUUUAUUUACUAGUUUCUAUACAAGAUGAAAAGAGAUGAUAACUUUUGCAAUUUCUACUGGAUUUUCUAUUCUUAAGGAUGAAUACUUAAGAAACAUUCACAUACUCAUUACUCUGCAUAAGGACUUGGUUCUAUGUCUUAUUCGUGAGUUAUUCAGCUAAUGGAAAAAAAUUGCAGCAUGCAUACACAGAAUUUGCUUGUGAGAAUGCAAUUAUCUCUUACAAUAUAUUAAUAAAUAUUUUAUUUUAAAAAAUC
ensembl:lncRNA